GGGUUGUGAGGUUAAGCGACUAAGCGUACACGGUGGAUGCCCUGGCAGUCAGAGGCGAUGAAGGACGUGCUAAUCUGCGAAAAGCGCCGGCGAGGUGAUAUGAACCUUUGACCCGGCGAUGUCCGAAUGGGGAAACCCAGUGCAAUUCGUUGCACUAUCGUUAACUGAAUACAUAGGUUAACGAGGCGAACCGGGGGAACUGAAACAUCUAAGUACCCCGAGGAAAAGAAAUCAACCGAGAUUCCCCCAGUAGCGGCGAGCGAACGGGGAGGAGCCCAGAGUCUGAAUCAG
rnacentral:rRNA from 1 species